UCCUUCUUAGCUCGGUUGGUAGAGCUCGUCACUAGUAGUAGCCAAGUGUACCAUAUUGAUGAUGAGGUUAGUCGUUCAAGUCGGCUAGAAGGAA